rnacentral:rRNA from 1 species
UACAGAGGUCUCAAGCGUUGUUCGGAUUCAUUGGGCGUAAAGGGUGCGUAGGUGGCGCCGUAAGUCAGGUGUGAAAUUUCGGAGCUUAACUCCGAAACUGCAUUUGAUACUGCGGUGCUUGAGGACUGGAGAGGAGACUGGAAUUUACGGUGUAGCAGUGAAAUGCGUAGAGAUCGUAAGGAAGACCAGUGGCGAAGGCGGGUCUCUGGACAGCUUCCU